rnacentral:rRNA from 1 species
ACUCAAAGGAAUAGACGGGGGCCCGCACAAGCGGUGGAGCAUGUGGUUUAAUUCGACGCAACGCGAAGAACCUUACCUAGGCUUGAACUACUGGAAGUAGUCCUGAUGAAAGUCGGGGCGAACCGUCAAGUCGGAAACCAGCAGAGGUGCUGCAUGGCUGUCGUCAGCUCGUGUCGUGAGAUGUUGGGUUAAGUCCCGCAACGAGCGCAACCCUUAUUCUAUGUUGCCAGGUCCGCAAGGACGGAACUCUUAGAAAACUGCCUCGGAUAACGGGGAGGAAGGUGGGGAUGACGUCAAGUCACCAUGGCCUUUAUGUCUAGGGCUACACACGUGCUACAAUGGUCGGUACAGCGAGCAGCUAAUCCGUAAGGAGGAGCAAAUCUCUAAAAGCCGGCCCCAGUUCAGAUAGUGGGCUGCAAUUCGCCCACUUGAAGGUGGAAUCGCUAGUAAUCGGGGAUCAGCUGGCCCCGGUGAAUACGUUCCCGGGCCUUGUACACACCGCCCGU